GAGGUCUGACACGGGGGGGUGGGGGAGGUUCGUAUUUGUGUGAGCGGAGAGAGAAAAACGGGCAGCUCGGAUUAUUUCAAUUCCCAGGAAGCAGAGCACGCCGGCAGAUGUUUCGGGGAGGCGCAAACAACUCAGCUCCGUUUGCUGGUAUUUAAAGGAGAACGCUGUUCAAAGCAGGGUGACAUAAUGGAAAUCAAGGGCCCCAAUCAUCUCGGAUAAGACUCAGAGCGGGUUUUAGAGAGAAGUUUCUAAAGGCCUGCCCGCAACUGACCUGUGCACCACACAGACUUCCUGUAAGCUGGCCACAGAUGACACGCCAGGAUCAGGCUGUCUGAUUGGUCCGCGUUUUCCAAUCGCCUCUACAGCUACUCCAGCCCAUCCAUAUCCACGAUGGACCUGCCUUCCUGUUCUCCUCCACCUCCUCCUCCUCUUUCAAGUGCUUUUGAUGUUAUAUGAGCCCGAAUACAGCUGGCUCAGUCCUCUCAGGACCGGAAGCACAGAAACGUCCAGGAGUGUAUAGGCGUUCCCCCCCGCCCGCCCCAACAGAACUUCAAACUCAAGGAACUCUAGAAACUUCUUUUGCAUUUCCAACGGGGAAUUUUGAGACUGUGCUUUGAGGGAAUACGUCUAGGGACUUUAACGAAUAAAGCAGAAGCUAAACGUCUACUAUGUGCACAUAAAUGGUUGGAAAACUCUCUAUCUCAUGAGGUUUAUCUGAGAACAUGUCUCACUACGAGAUCUCAGUGAUAUCGCAGAGUGGUUCGCUAACCCGGGGGAGUGAAUGUAGCUCGUUUUAAGAUGCCUUGUUCUUUCACAGAUUCUUUUCCUCUUGAUCCAGUCGUGGCGCGCUGACUAAAUCCUCACUGCUUCCCCAAAUCCGCAUUGUGCCAAUUGCAUCCAGAGUUCCGUCGGUCUCGCUCGGAAAUGGGCUGUGGUCAUGUGACCAGCCAGACAGGUCAAGGGGCUUUCUGCGAAAGUCCAUCCAUCCGGCUAUGUGCCAUCGUAACUUACCCAUAAAAAGUCUCUGUAAAAAAAAAGAAAAAUGAUAAAACGCCGAUGACAUGUGCUCUUGUUUUUUUCCCGGAGCGAAAAAUACUGCCUGAAAAAAAUAAUAAUAAAAAAAUAAAGCACCGAAA